rnacentral:lncRNA from 1 species
UAUUCAGGAUCUGAAACAAGGUCCAGAGCCUUCAUUACGUCUUCUAGUAGAGUGUCAGGUAUAAAGCCAUUAUCCUCAGGGUCGUAAGUCUGGAAAACUCUCCUAGCUUGUUCAGAAGGCGCUUCAGGAGCAACAAGAGCCAUAUCCUUGGCAAAAAAGACUGUGAGGUGUGUUUCACUGCCGAGUAUCCAGAUGGGGAACUUUGGAGAUUUCAAAUAGGAGCCAACCUUACAGUAUCUCAGAGAUUCCAUUAGUGUCAGAAAGCCUACUGUUGCUUGUUUAUGUAUGCCAAGAAGCUUCAUUCCUGAACAUUCUCUGUCUCCAUCCCACACAUUAGAAACAGCAUGCCCCGUCAACAGGAGGUUAAUUAAACUUUGGCUUCCAUGACCAUAAACAGGAUCUAUCAAUGGCUCAGUUGCAUCCUCAAUUUCAUUUUUUAUGUUUUCAGUACCCUUUGUCAGUAUCACAGAAUACAGAAAGAGUAAUACUCCAAAUCUGUUUGUCCACAC